rnacentral:tRNA from 1 species
AAGGGUAUAGCUCCGUGGUAGAGCACAUGCUUAGCACGCCUGAGGUCCUGGGUUCAAUCCCCAGUACCUCCA